rnacentral:rRNA from 1 species
AUACGAAGGGUGCGAGCGUUAAUCGGAAUUACUGGGCGUAAAGCGCGCGUAGGCGGUUGGAUAAGUCGGAUGUGAAAGCCCCGGGCUCAACCUGGGAAUUGCAUUCGAAACUGUCCGGCUAGAGUAUGGUAGAGGGAAGCGGAAUUCCACAUGUAGCGGUGAAAUGCGUAGAUAUGUGGAGGAACACCAGUGGCGAAGGCGGCUUCCUGGACCAAUACUGACGCUGAGGUGCGAAAGCGUGGGUAGCAAACAGGAUUAGAAACCCCAGUAGUCC